rnacentral:lncRNA from 1 species
GCUACACUGAGCAGAAUGAGUGUCCUUUUUAAACAGAAGAAGAAGACAGAAAAACAAGUUAACUGAGAGAUCUGUGUAGUCUCCUGCCUGUCCUGCCAUCCCCUCCAGGUGACCGAUCCUUGCUCAUUUGCUCUCACUUCAGCAGUCCUGGGAGGAGCAAUCAGUUCCUGCAGUUUCUCCAAGCAGUUCACCUGACUUCUAGCGGGUUUCUGGGGAGGACCUGGAUCCAGCCUACCUUGAAUAAGAGCUGUGAGGGAGAUGGCUAUGACUUUUCUGGUUCCACCUAUCGUGGGAAUUCACCCUGGCUCCAUGAAUGUGUGACUAAUUUCCUGGACAGAAUCGUAAGGACUGAAAGGGACCCCUGGAGAUCAUUGUGUCCAACCCCCUGCUAAAGCAGUUCCCUACGGCAGGCCACACGGGAAAGCAUCCAGAUGGGUCUCGAAUGUCUCCAGAGAAGGAGAAUCCACAGCCUCUCUGGGCAGCCUGUUCCAGUGCUCUGUCAGCCUCACAGAGUUGCACUCAGUGCUCCUUAUGGGCCCUUUCCAACUCUGGAUCUGGAAUUGGAUUGCUGUGGAUCAUCUGUUCUCCCACUCUAAAUGGUUUGGUUUAUUACAGAUUCAAAAGCUCUGUAUGGUGCAGCUUUUUGGAGCAUAUGAUUAUAAAGCUGUAUUCUGCAUACAUUCAGGAUAAGAUACACUGCAGCACUGAGAGAUGUGGGCUUUGUUCCAGGAGCGUUUGUUCUCACAGGCUUACAGUGCUGAGUAGCUGCAGCCGGUAGGCAGGUUCUCGCCUUUCCUUGUCAUUCCACAUAGACUCACCACAGCAUUUUUCAUACUCCACAACGAAUUAUCCAUGCAUUAUUAGAUAGCCUUAUUUCCCAACACCUCUGCCUAAUCCCAUGCUGUACUUUUCUUGCGUCCUGCAGUAACUUUUGUAGUGAUGCAACCCAGAGAUCUGAUUUUACUCUCUGGGGUAUGAUACAAUUACAGAGGUGGGUUUUUAAAAGCACUGCCUUCAUAUAGCAUUGUGCAAUUGAUAGCAUAUUGCAUUCUUUCUGCUACCUUAUUGUUGAAGUGAUGGAACAGCAUCUUCGUUUUCCACUCUAAUAAGCAGAACAUAUCUUGAAGCUAGAACUGAGUAGAAGAAAUUUAACCCUGGAUUUGUGUCCGAGGAGUACAUAAAUACUGAAAGCAAGGAUUUUCUCAGGACAACAACUGAAGAGAUGAAGAGAAACACAAGUGCUGUUGUAAAUGCCUGCAGACUCAAAUCCUGCCAGAGGCUCCAGGUGCAACAGGAGAAGCCAGCAGAGGGAGGCACGCCCAUUUUUACUGAAAGGAUUGGAAAAGGGUACUGGAGUGAAACUGCAGUUGUCUACAAACAGAAGGAUUCUUCCACUUGCCAGCCACACGUCUCUGUCAAGAAAAAAAGAAGUUGGAGCUGCCAUUAUGAAAUUUUAUUCAAACAAACUUUUGCAAAGGAGAAGAGUGGAAGACCAAAGACAGUGUCUUGAAAGAAAAUAGUCUUUAUUUCGAGGAUUGGAAGAAGAGAAAAAGUUAAGGCUAAGAAGAGAGUUGCUCAGAGGAGUUUGGCCAUAUUAAGAGCAGAGCUGGAAGUUAUCCCAAUGUGUAGGAAGGACGAGAUGACAGCGAGAAACCAGCUCACCCAAUGAGAUGUUCAGUGACCUCAAACAAGAAACUGGUUUUGCAGGGCUGCUCUGUAAAUCAGAUCAACAAAAUGAUCUGUAUUAAUAAAGAACACAAGACCUGUUUUUG